rnacentral:rRNA from 1 species
GCGGCGAGCGAAAUGGGACCAGCCCAAACCGAAGGCUACUGUCUUCGGGGUUGUAGGGCUUGCGUACGAUGUGAUUUUGUUAGAAGAACUUUCUGGAAAGUUAGGCCAAAGACGGUGACAGCCCGGUAUUCGAAAACGAAAGAUCAUUAGCGAGUACCCUGAGUACGGCGGGACACGUGAAACCCUGUCGGAAUCUGGGGGGACCACCCCCCAAGGCUAAAUACUCUUGACGACCGAUAGUGAACAAGUACGGUGACGGAAAGGUGAAAAGACCCCCGGUAAGGGGAGUGAAAUAGAACCUGAAACCGUGCGCUUACAAACAGUCGAAGCACCUUAUGUGUGUGACGGCGUGCCUUUUGGAGAAUGAGCCAGCGAGUUAAUUUCAGUGGCAAGGUUAAGGCGUCAGCCGGAGCCGAAGCGAAAGCGAGUCUGAAUAGGGCACGAAGUUGCUGGAAUUAGACACGAAACCGUGUGAGCUACCCAUGGGCAGGUUGAAGCGGGUGUAAGAACCCGUGGAGGACCGAACCCACUUCAGUUACAAAUGAAGGGGAUGACCUGUGGGUAGAGGUGAUAUGCCAAACGAACACGGAGAUAGCUUGUUCUCUCCGAAAUAGCUUUAGGGCUAGCGUCGCGUGUUUAGUGCAGGGGGUAGAGCACUGAAAAGGCUAGGGGGAGUCAAAUCUUACCAAACCUUAUUAAACUCCGAAUACCGAUAUGGUAAGUAUGGGAAACACACUAUGGGUGCUAACGUCCAUAGUGGAGAGGGAAACAACCCAGACCGCCAACUAAGGUCCCAAAGUCAUGGUUAAGUGGGGAAGGAUGUGAGGAUCCCAUAACAGCUAGGAGGUUGGCUUAGAAGCAGCCAUCCUUUAAAGAAAGCGUAACAGCUCACUGGUCUAAAUAAGGGUUCCUGCGGCGAAGAUGUAACGGGGCUAAAGUAAUGCACCGAAGCUUAGGGUUCGUAAUUUAUUACGAGCGGUAGCGGAGCGUUCCGUAAGCGGAUGAAGCCGAAGGGUAACCGACGGUGGACGUAUCGGAAGUGCGAAUGCUGACAUGAGUAGCGAUAAAAAGGGUGAGAUACCCUUUCGCCGAAAGACCAAGGGUUCCUACGCAAUGCUAAUCAGCGUAGGGUAAGCCGGCCCCUAAGACGAGCCCGAAGGGGGUAGUCGAUGGGAACCACGUUAAUAUUCGUGGGCCUGAAGAUGUGUGACGGAUCGUGGAAGUUGUAUGCUCUUAUUGGAUUGAGUGUGCAGCCAAGCGGUUCCAGGAAAUAGCCUCUUCAUAUAGACCGUACCCGAAACCGACACAGGUGGUCAGGUAGAGUAUACCAAGGCGCUUGAGAGAAGUAUCCUGAAGGAACUCGGCAAAUUGCCUCCGUACCUUCGGAAGAAGGAGGCCCUGAUUCGAGGCACCUCUUAUCAGGGGGCACAGGCCAGGGGGUAGCGACUGUUUAUCAAAAACACAGGACUCUGCUAAGUCGGCUUCAAGACGACGUAUAGGGUCUGACGCCUGCCCGGUGCUUGAAGGUUAAGAGGAGGAGUGCAAGCUCCGAAUUGAAGCCCAAGUAAACGGCGGCCGUAACUAUAACGGUCCUAAGGUAGCGAAAUUCCUUGUCGGGUAAGUUCCGACCUGCACGAAUGGCGUAACGACUUCCCCACUGUCUCCAGGAUAUGCUCAGCGAAAUUGAAUUCUCCGUGAAGAUGCGGAGUACCCGCGGUUAGACGGAAAGACCCCGUGCACCUUUACUGCAACUUCAGAGUGGCAUUAGGAAAGAGUUGUGUAGCAUAGGUGGGAGGCUUUGAAACUUGGGCGCCAGUCCGAGUGGAGCCAACCUGUGAAAUACCACCCUGUUGUUUUCUAAUAUCUAACCUAGAUCCGUUAUCCGGAUCAGGGACCCUCUAUGGCGGGUAGUUUGACUGGGGCGGUCGCCUCCUAAAGAGUAACGGAGGCGCGCGAUGGUAGGC